GAGCGAGCCAGGAGGGGGGAGAACAAGAGGAAACUAGAGGAAGAGGGAAACUGAGGAAGGGAUGAGGAAGGUUCUCUCAAGCAGGCACCUGGGCCGGCCCCUGUAUUACUCCCUGCCCUUCAAAGGGAGAAAGACGCAGACCAGUGGAGUGAAGACCCUGCGUGUUCUCUCAAUGUAAAAAAGUUGACAAACAUCUCUGGCCCCCUCCUAAGAGUAAAAUAAGAUGACCAGAACAUCAGGACUUUCCAGACCAUCAGACAUUUUCAGCCCUCCACCCUCAAGAGAGACUAGAGGGCAGCCAAGUCCAUUUAAAGGUGAGUCGCUGGUGAAACAACGGUGUAUAAUGUGGAGACCCUGCCCGUGCACCACUCCCUCUGCUCAUGCAAACUCCUGAACGUACCACUUCUGUUCACAGUGGAUUGCUGCUGGACACAUCUGACCUUGUGAAACAGUGGACAGGCAAAAGCCAAGUGUGUUCAGUUUUAUAUGUCCACCUGGCUAGGCUGCCAUCCUCAGUAAUUCAUGGAAACACAAAUCUUGGUGGUGGUGUAAAAAUUUUUGUGGAUGGAAUUAAACUUUACAAUCCGUUGGAAGAAGUCAAAGAGAUUAUCCUAGAUAGUGUGGGUUAGCUUGACCCACUGAUUCGAGGCUUUAGAAAAGAGCUGUGUUUUUUCUGAAAAGAAGAAAUUUCACCUGCGUAGGAGCCGAAGUUCCCUCCUGAGUUUCUAGCAUAUCUUUUCUGGUAAACUGGCCUGUGGAUUUCUCGUCUAUAUACAUAUGUGAGUAUGUAUAAUAUCCUAGAGACUGUUUUUUGUUUAUUUGGUAAAACCCUGACUGAUAUACCAAAUCAUAAUGGGAAAGUGAUGGGAAGUUGUAACCUCAUGUAAUGUGGUUUCCUGGGUCAUGUGCCUC